rnacentral:rRNA from 1 species
UUUUAUGGAGAGUUUGAUCCUGGCUCAGGAUGAACGCUGGCGGCGUGCCUAAUACAUGCAAGUCGAGCGAACGGACGAGAAGCUUGCUUCUCUGAUGUUAGCGGCGGACGGGUGAGUAACACGUGGAUAACCUACCUAUAAGACUGGGAUAACUUCGGGAAACCGGAGCUAAUACCGGAUAAUAUUUUGAACCGCAUGGUUCAAAAGUGAAAGACGGUCUUGCUGUCACUUAUAGAUGGAUCCGCGCUGCAUUAGCUAGUUGGUAAGGUAACGGCUUACCAAGGCAACGAUGCAUAGCCGACCUGAGAGGGUGAUCGGCCACACUGGAACUGAGACACGGUCCAGACUCCUACGGGAGGCAGCAGUAGGGAAUCUUCCGCAAUGGGCGAAAGCCUGACGGAGCAACGCCGCGUGAGUGAUGAAGGUCUUCGGAUCGUAAAACUCUGUUAUUAGGGAAGAACAUAUGUGUAAGUAACUGUGCACAUCUUGACGGUACCUAAUCAGAAAGCCACGGCUAACUACGUGCCAGCAGCCGCGGUAAUACGUAGGUGGCAAGCGUUAUCCGGAAUUAUUGGGCGUAAAGCGCGCGUAGGCGGUUUUUUAAGUCUGAUGUGAAAGCCCACGGCUCAACCGUGGAGGGUCAUUGGAAACUGGAAAACUUGAGUGCAGAAGAGGAAAGUGGAAUUCCAUGUGUAGCGGUGAAAUGCGCAGAGAUAUGGAGGAACACCAGUGGCGAAGGCGACUUUCUGGUCUGUAACUGACGCUGAUGUGCGAAAGCGUGGGGAUCAAACAGGAUUAGAUACCCUGGUAGUCCACGCCGUAAACGAUGAGUGCUAAGUGUUAGGGGGUUUCCGCCCCUUAGUGCUGCAGCUAACGCAUUAAGCACUCCGCCUGGGGAGUACGACCGCAAGGUUGAAACUCAAAGGAAUUGACGGGGACCCGCACAAGCGGUGGAGCAUGUGGUUUAAUUCGAAGCAACGCGAAGAACCUUACCAAAUCUUGACAU